rnacentral:lncRNA from 1 species
AUGCUGUUUAUUUGAUACAUUAUUUGUUUGAUUACCACUGUAGUGUUUUUUUCGGCUAACGUCACUUGUGAACGGCUGCAUCGAGGAGGUGCCAUGCUGCAGUGCCGCAGAGAGAUCAGCCAGGACCUCGCGGACCAGGCCUCCCAGUGGCUGUACUACAACCAGCACAUCGAGCUUGGCGCUCUGGAGGAGGAGAACGCCACGCUGAGUCGAAGGAGUUCCUCGUUGGACGUGGAGCUGUUGCAGGAGAAGAGAGCAGUGGAGGCAGCUGAGCGGUGGGUGGCCAACGCCGAGGAUCAGCUUCCCCGUCUGGAGGACAUCAUCCUGCAGAAGGAGAAGGAGCUGGACACCGUCACUCGUCUGCUGGUGGAGGUUACUGAGGAGACCGAGGAACUGCAGAGGCAGGUGGAGGCUGCUGUGGAGCGGGGACAGCUUCCACGGGCCACCCUGGAGGGACUGCCCUGGAUCCUGGAGCGCCCGGAGGAGGCCGAGGAGAUAGGAGCUCAGGCUCUAGCCUCCGCUCUCCUCCGGUGGAGCAAGGAGACCAGGGAGCAGGAGGAGGAGCGGAGCAGGGAGCAGGAGGAGGAGGAGGAGGAGGAGCAGAGGGCCGAAGAGGAGGUGGAGGAGGAGCGUUGCACCCAGGAGGUCCAGCGAGGUUAGACCGACUCUUUUGCUCUGGGCUUACUG